GUAUAGCAAUAGCUAAUUGUAUCAAUGUUUAAAUAAUUGAUGCAAUAUCGACUCUGUCGAAUAAAAUUCUAGGUAGAAUUAUGAUAAUGACAUUCUCUGCCUAUGUGUCUUGACCAAAUUACGUGCCAGCAGUCGCGGUAAUACGUAGAAGACUAGUGUUAUUCAUCUUUAAUAGGUUUAAAGGGUACCUAGACGGUAAAUCAAGCCUGUAAUACGGGACUAAUAUACUAGAGUUACUUACGAGGGGGUAUUAAAGUACUGCUGGUGUAGAGAUGAAAUUCUGUCAUACCUCAUUUCUAGAGAAAUACUAUGGCACAGGUAUAGGCGAAAGCAUCCCCUUAUGUGAUAACUGACGUUGAAGGACGAAGGCUUUGUGUAGCGAACAGGAUUAGAUACCCCAGUAGUCAAAGCAGAAAAUGAUGAAUGUCAUAGAUUAGACAUUAGUUUAUUCUAUAAAUGAAAGUGUAAGCAUUCCACCUCAAGAGUAAUUUGGCAACAUUGGAACUGAAAUCAUUAGACCGUUUCUGAAACCAGUAGUGAAGUAUGUUGUUUAAUUUGAUAAUCCGCAAAAAACCUUACCACAAUUUGAAUAUUUAGAUUUAUUUACAAGCGUUGCACGGCUGUCUUCAGUUAAUGUCGUGAGAUUAUGGUUAGUUCCAUUAAUUAACGUAAACCCUUACUUUAUUUUUAUAUAGAGUUGUUCCCCGCUAGAUUGGAUAAGAUAACAGGG
rnacentral:rRNA from 1 species